rnacentral:lncRNA from 1 species
GGCCUGUGACAAGCAAUUAAACAGAAACCUACUCAGCAUGCGGUAUGUAUAUUGCAAUUGAUAAAGGAAGUCUGCAGUGGAAGAUGAAGAAGUAAAACAGACCAAGCUGCUGGUUCUUGAGAAUUUGGACCAUAAUUCACAUUCGCAGGUAAGUAGUUGCCCCUAAAGAGAUGCACACAAAUAGAGCAUGAAUACAGUUACUAAAACAAUCUCCAAUAACAAUAAACUUAACAAAUAUUCUAGAGUUUUGGAGAACCAAGUUGAAAAAUAAAGAGGUGUGAAACCUUGAUUCUCCCGUCCUUGGUUUCUUAGGAUCCGCAAAACGAACAAUUAAUGGAUGAUCACAACCCUGCAAUAUUAGGAAUAAAACUUUAGCAAGCAUUCAAAAUUGGACAGAAAUUUUAGGAAUCAUUUAAUAAAUAUUAUAAAUUAGCUUUACUCUCAUUGUGAAGUUUCUAUCCAACCCUUUGAUUGCUGCCAAAGCCAUCUCUUUAUUAGAAAAUUUGACGAAACAACAUCCUUCAAAAUGCACCCACAUGACAUAAAUUAGGUAAGAGCAAAAAUAUCAUUGAAUAAUAAAUUGAACUACAUUAUAUGACUUGGCGCUAAAAGAAACAUUAGCAAAAAUUCAAACAGUCCAUCAUGGAUUGAGCAUGAUCUUCUCCCUUUAUGCAUGUAGGCUCCAAAACAUUUAGUAAUUUUAUUUGUUAGAAUAUCUGAAAAAUAACACCUGUCCGAACAGUCUGACACUAUUAUUUUAUCGUAAGUAUCUCAUGUUAUCUCUUAAAACAUGUUCCUUUAUAUACCAUGAAUUGUUUCCUUGUUUAGGAUUAGGAGUCUAGUAUUAGUAUAACCAUGAGGAUUAAGUGUCUAGUAUUAGUAUAACCAUAAAUAAAUACUACUGCUUUGUCUUCAGAACAGGAACAUAAAGUAUUAUUCACAUCAAUAUCAUUAUAAUUUUACUGUUGAGUAUUUAUUUUUCACGAUUAGGAGUCUAGUAUUAGUAUAACCAUGAGGAUUAAGAGUCUAGUAUUAGUAGAACCAUAAAUAAAUAUUACUGCUUUGUCUUCAGAACAGGAACAUAUAAGAUAUUAUUCACCUCAAUAUCAAUAUCAAUAUAAUUUUACUGUUCUGAGUAUUUAUUUUUCUCCCUGUAUAACUAAAAGUCUAAACCUAUAGCUUCAACAAUACUUGUAUUUUUUUCUUUAAACAGUGUCGUUCUAGAAACAAAACUCAGCUAAGUGAGAUCAGACCUAGUUCUUCAUCUCAACCAAUCUUUCCCUGCUGCCUCUCACUCUACCUCUCAUCUAGGUUUUCAUUUUUCAGGUCUGCAACUCCGAAAUUUGCAGUAUAAAUGUCAGGUAAGACAUAGAAGACAAAAUCAAACACAUUUUCGUUCUUCAAAGCCACAGAUACCAUAUGUAAAACAUUACAUGGCAAGAUCAAGGACCAACCAC